AAUGAACGUUGGCGGCGUGGAUUAGGCAUGCAAGUCGUACGCUCCGCAAGGGGCGUGGCGCAAGGGUGAGUAAGGCGACGGCAACCAACCUGGGGGCCGGACACAGCCGCGGGAAACUGCGGGUAAUAUCCGGCGCCGUCGGAGAGGGGCAUCCCCUUCCGCCGAAAGGUGUGACUCCGCCCCCAGACGGGCCGGCGUGCUAUUAGGUAGUUGGCGGGGUAACGGCCCACCAAGCCUGCGAUGCCUACCGGGCGUGCGAGCGUGGCCCGGCACACUGGGACUGAGACACUGCCCAGACACCUACGGGUGGAUGCAGUCGAGAAUCUUCGGCAAUGGGCGCAAGCCUGACCGAGCGACGCCGCGUGGAGGAUGAAGGCCUUCGGGUUGUAAACUCCUGUCGAGGGGGAACAAGGUGCCGUGCAGAGCGGCGCUUGAGUGAUCCCUGGAGGAAGCACGGGCUAAGUUCGUGCCAGCAGCCGCCGUAA
rnacentral:rRNA from 1 species